AACCAUUCUCACCUGCGGCUAGACCUGCGGAGGGAUCAUUAAUGAAAUGCAAGGACGUUCUUUUUAGAAGUCCGACCCAAUUCAUCCUUUCACCCUGUGCACAUAACAUUUUUUACACCCAUUUUAAAACACGUAAAGUCAUUAGAAUGUCAUAAAGUCUCUUAAUUGAGCAUAAAAGUUAAUAAAACUUUCAGCAACGGAUCU
rnacentral:misc_RNA from 1 species